rnacentral:rRNA from 1 species
GAUAAACGCUAGCGGCAGGCUUAACACAUGCAAGUCGAGGGGCAGCAUAGAUUGUAGCAAUACAAUUGGUGGCGACCGGCGCACGGGUGCGUAACGCGUAUGCAACCUACCCGUCACAGGGGGAUAAUCCGGAGAAAUCUGGUCUAAUACCCCAUAACAUAUGGAUCGGCAUCGGUUCAUGUUGAAAUUUUCGGAGGUGACGGAUGGGCAUGCGUAGCAUUAGCUUGUUGGUGAGGUAACGGCUCACCAAGGCGACGAUGCUUAGGGGGACUGAGAGGUUUUCCCCCCACAGUGGUACUGAGACACGGACCAGACUCCUACGGGAGGCAGCAGUGAGGAAUAUUGGUCAAUGGGCGCAAGCCUGAACCAGCCAUGGCGCGUGCAGGAUGACGGCUCUAUGAGUUGUAAGCUGCUUUUGUACGAGGGUAAAGUGGGUUACGUGCAACCUUUUGAAAGUAUCGUACGAAUAAGGAUCGGCUAACUCCUUGCCAGCAGCCGCAGUAA